UGAUCCUUACCACUAACUGCUUCACUCUGAGCCCCCUACUCCAGCCUUAACUGUCAUGGAACGCUUGGUGCAUCACAAAGGAAGACAUGCCGCAUCAUCCAUGCCCUGCUUAGGCCACUGUAAGCAUUCCGGCACCACUUUAACUGCCAUAAUUCAAAUCCUGAAAGUGUUCCCCCGGAUGAUAAGAAACACAAAGCCGGUGACAUCCAUGCACUUUGGAAUUACUUAGAUCAGUUAACACCAAAGUCUGGUCAGAAGUCUCAUCUGCCUUGUUGCGAAUUCUGGAAGUUGAAGCCCAAAACACUUGGAAGAACAGAGUUUGGGAAAACCUGGCUCUUGUUUUGGAUCUAAAAAACAACAACACAAAGAACCUAGCUGUGAA